CCAACAUAUGCACAGUCCCACAAAACAACUGAUAUACCCAGCAUUACUGAAACAUCAUUGUCUAAGUAUGGCCCCACUUACCGUACCAUACUGGUGUAUUGUAGUAUGAGUAAUUCGGGGAGGGAAAAUUAUUAUUAUUACAACUGUGUAAGAACGAAAAAGGGUGGGACAAUACUCGCCUCCGUGUCUUUAAUAAAAUCAUGACUUUUCGUCAUGUAAUAGCAAAAUCAUGUAAUUUUAUAACAAGACACGGAGGCUCAUAUUGCAAGUUUAAAGCUGAUCCAUUACCGCAGCGAAUGUAUGUGGGGCCGGCCGAAAGUAAAAUUCCCGGAAUGUAGACUCCCUAGACCAGUCAGCCAUCCUCAUAAUGUCCUUCAGGCGUGCGCCUGCCGACAUCAUAGAAGAGGCUGAUGCCCCCCGGACCGAAUGGGCGCCAAAUAUCGUGGUAUCAAUACCUGCUUGGGACAACAGCCAUUUCACCCAUUGUGACAAGGUAGUGCUAGAAACCGGGUGAAAAGGAGGACGGAAAGAUAAAAACAACUGAGGAGAGACGGUAGAGCGAUGUGGGUUGGUGCGAGUCUCGUAUUCGCGAAGGCAGGCCACUGGGCAUAGUGAAGGAGAGGUAGGGAAACUAGGGUAGGAUACUGAUUUGAUGGAAGUCUUAGUCCGCCUGCUGAUGUUGAAAGUUACCCCGUCCGGGGUAUAUGACUUGGCAUCGAAGUCCAGUGCUCUGACAUCCGAAACCCUCUUGCAUGAGACGAGGCAGAGCAGGCAAACCAAUUUGGCAGAUAGCUGUUUGAGGGAGAGUCCUGAGUUAGCGGGCCAGGAUGAGAGGAAAGCCAAUACGACCGAGACGUCCCAGGUCGUGGAGUAGCGGGGCCUGGGUGGUCGUGAAAAUCUAGAACCCUUGAGGAGUCGGCACACUAAGGGGUGCUGUCCCGCGGGGCAGCCAUCAAAG